ACUGUGUGUGUGUGUGUGUGUGUGUGUGUGUGUGUGUAUAUACACACACACACAUAUACACACACACGUUUUAUUU